GAGAGGAAUAAACACGUACUGCGCCGUGCUGCGUCGUAGGCCGGGCCUACUCAGAAUUGACGGGGAAUUACUGUACAAGAUAAAAAACAAUAUUUAACAGAUGAGGUCAGUUCUCCCAUCAUCCUCAUGGUAGCAUCAGCAUGAGAAGUCGGCAGAAUUCUUUUCGCUUGACGGGUUACUUGGGGUUUCUAGUGUGUGUGUGUGUGUGUGUGUGUGUGUGUGUGUGUGUGUGUGUGUGUGUGUGUGUGUGUGUGUGUAUACAUCUUGGGUUUAUACCCCUGCCAGUGCUGUGCCUUUGUUUUGACUUCAGGCUGCUUAUUUUGAUAUCUGGCCAGGAGGCCUGCUAAUUUUGAGAAGAAUUCAGUGGUAUAUUUGUAGAAUGGGAGCAGCUCUCUGCUCUCUUUCCUUUCCUAUUGGACUCUGAGAGACACCCAUUUUUCCCACUGGACUGUGAGAGACCCCAAUGUUUCCCACUGGACUUUGAAAGACCCCCAUGUUUCCCGCAGGACUGUGAGAGAUCCUCCUGUUUCGCCCAAGGUGGUUUGUGGCUUGACAAGGAGAAAGUCCAAGGAUGUAAAAAAAUAUAUAUAAAAAACAUUUGAAAAAGAAGAGAGAGAGAAUGAAAGAAAGAAAGAAAGAAAGAAAGAAAGAAAGAAAGAAAGAAAGAAAGAAAGAAAGAAAGAAAGAAAGAAAGAAAGAAAGAAAGAAAGAAAGAAAGAAAGAAAAUGAAAUAAAGAAAGAAAGGGGGACACAGAGUUGGAGUUAGAUACAAUUAUUACGAUAAUCAGGAUACAUUACAGAUACUUACCCUUUGUUAGCUAAUAACUCCAGAAGACCACAGAAAGCCUCAGAUGGCUACUGACCGUCGGCCAGAAGAGCGGGAAGAUAGGAUUGACACAAACUGACUGAAACCUUUACUGAAUUCAUGCCCUUACAGAAUUACCCACCACAAGAAGACCAAGCAGCAGAGGAAGGAGCAGCACAAGGAGGACUAUAGGAAGCAGCGCGCUCGGGAGGUCAUGGCAUCCUGAUCGCUGGAGGUG
rnacentral:lncRNA from 1 species